GUCAUUGAUCGGGUAAAUGGGUCAAGAAUUUUAACCCAAAUCCGACACGAAAAAAAAUCGUGUUGAUCCGGAUCCGACCCAUUUAAUAAUCGUGUUAAAUUUAACUAUCCAUACCCAUUUAUUUAUGUCGUGUUCGUAUCGGGUAAUCGGAUCGUGUCAAAUUUUGCCAGCUCUAGACGCUGCAUGGCCGGCAGCACGUAUCGUGGUUCCCACAGCGUAUGAUGUUGUGGGCUUUGUUAGUGCGAGGAAGUGGGGACCGUUGGACCGUGACAACCGCUCACGUGAUGACGCGUACAGUUCUGGUUUGGUUCACUUGACCGUACGCAGUUGCCGAUCGAAGACGUGCCGGCCACUGCUUUCGGAGAUCCCCAUGAAAGGUGCCAAUAAAUGGAAAGGAAGUGUUAAUAAUACUAUACGUGAGCAAUGAUGGCGUACGGUGAAGACUAUUCUACUACUCUGAUUGUAGUUUGAUCGGUGAUGGAUGUUGCUCUGACUCCUACCAAGUACCAACUCGUCGAUGCGUAAGGUUGUUAAAAUAGUGGUUCCCAUUUUAGAAUGCAACAAUGAUUAAACGCGCCGAAUGGGGUCCAGCUAUGUUACUACUGUAGUAACAUUCCACAUUCUUUUGUCUGUUCUUAAUCCACCGUUAGAUUUAACUGUAACGGCUGAGAUGUUUCUCUUGGUUUAUUAACAUUAUACUCCCUAAUGUUUGCUACAAAAUCACAAAAGUAACAAAGUUUAAAAUAUUGACACAUUAGUCCAUAAAUUUACAAUUUAUUAUGCAAUAAUAUUAGAACAUUUUAAUUAUAUUAA
rnacentral:lncRNA from 1 species